UACGGAGGGUGCGAGCGUUAAUCGGAAUUACUGGGCGUAAAGGGUGCGUAGGUGGUUUAAUAAGUUAUCUGUGAAAGUCCUGGGCUUAACCUAGGGAGGCCAGAUGAGACUGUUAGACUAGAGUAUAGGAGAGGGCAGUGGAAUUUCCGGUGUAGCGGUGAAAUGCGUAGAGAUCGGAAGGAACACCAGUGGCGAAGGCGGCUGCCUGGCCUAAUACUGACACUGAGGCACGAAAGCGUGGGGAGCAAACAGG
rnacentral:rRNA from 1 species